UUUCAGAGUUGGACAGUCAGCUGUGCGGUAGCAGUACACGAGAUUAUGUGAUGACUCUAUUAUCAACAACACUGUUCACUAUUGAAGCAGGUGGCACUCUUGUCCAUUUUUUUUACAGUCUUCAGUCGUAUGCGCCUGGGCUCUAGCUUUUUCCUUUGGAGAGCAGCAGUGGCAGCUUUAAUAAAACAAGAGAAACAGAGGCAGGCGAAUCAGAAACAAGAUCUGAAUUACGGCUUAAAGAAUAUGGAUAAUUAUUUCUGUUGGUCAUAUUUCCCACAUACCUUCUGAUGGGUUGGACCUGGCUGAUGAGGUCCAGAAGUUGGCGGUGUCUGGUGUCCGGCAGCAACAUGCUACAAACAGCAGCCGAGAUGCUGAACGUGCCGAAAAUCAAGUAUGGCAGGAUCUUGCUGUAAACUCCUGCAAUCAGAACAUCAGGCGCUCCUUGUGAUCGAUCUGUUUAUUUCAAUGGAUUGCAUCCAUAGCCCUUUGUCACUUCUGACAUUUUAAACAUGUCUAACAUUGGUGUAAUAAACAUUUUUAACUGGUGCAUUAGCACAGAGCCAUAACUAGUGGGAUGAGUUGAAUCUGAGUUUUUUCCAGUCCAAAUAUCUGCAUCAUAUUAAAGAUACGGAUGAAUCGGAUUAUUUUGGGGAUAAACAGAAAGAUACACUGCUCUGAUGCAAAAAAUGUAAUUCAACAUCCGGAUAGCAAAUUUUACACAGAAAGCUUAAUGACAAUGCAAAAUAUAUGGAAAAAAUGUAAGGCCAAAGUAAAAUUGUAUUAAAAUGUAUGGUUUGGACAUUUUUGGAUUUCUUGACCAUGACAGAGAAGA